CUUCAUUUAGAUGGGUGUGGUAGUUCAAUUGGUACGAGCACCACCACCCAAGCUUACUGUGAAGGGUUCAAGUCUAUCGGGGGGAAACGGGGUGCCUGGGGCAUAGCCAAAAAAAAAAAAACUUUAAUAUUUGGUAAAAUGAAAUUUUCAUCUACAGGAGGGAAGUUUUGCAGCUGCAUUUUCAUUUCCCUUCAAAUGAUGUUUGCUCUAGUCCUCUUUUGAAACACAGCCUCCAAUCCAAUUAGUCCUCCGAUUGCCGAUGUUGUCCUUGCAGGUUCGUACUCUCCGAUCGGCAGCCCCUCUUGCUCUAUCUCUUAGAGGCCGAAGAUUGGCCAUGAUGAGUACAAUUCCUAUGUUGAUUUCAAUCUUUGGGACUUGAAGAAGGUUGAUUUGAGAAAAUUCGAUCUCGAUUCGGCUCUCAACGGGUUUGUAUAUUUUGAGACAAGUGGGUUUUGGGGUAGAUGAUGAGAGAGAGUGGAGGUUCUGGAAGUUUGUGGAAGGAGCUGAGCUUGGAUUGGGACUCCCUAUUCACACGGUGCAUAGGAUCAAGAGCUACGAAUCAAAAUUAGCAAGGUUGAGUUACUAGAGGAUGUGAUGACACAACUAAAGAAAAUUUCUGUAAUCCGUAGGCUUUGUCCAAAGGUAAUUAGACAGUUCAGUCUUGGUUCAUCAUUAGGAAGUUAGAUCAAGAUUUAUUUAUCGUGGAUGAGAUCUUGUAGGCCAAGUCUUAAGAUUUGAGAUUUGAAAGUGGAUGAAGAACUCAAAAUGAAAAGUGCAGACUAACAUGUUUUUAAAGACCCAAGAUGAAGUUAAAUGCAAUAUUCAUCCACCACCAUUACUUCUGUAGCUGCACUUUUUCUAUAGAAUUUUAUUGCACCUUUUCUGUAGAAUUUUAUUUUCUUUGUACACAUUUAAAUCAUUGUUGUAAUUACACAAUGACAAUUAAUUAUUUGUUUAUGAUGACUAUAGUUUUUAUAAAA